UAAGUGAUGGCGCCGGCGCACGGGUGAGUAACACGUAUCCAACCUGCCGAUAACUCGGGGAUAGCCUUUCGAAAGAAAGAUUAAUACCCGAUGGUAUAAUAAAGCCGCAUGGUUUAAUUAUUAAAGAAUUUCGGUUAUCGAUGGGGAUGCGUUCCAUUAGGCAGUUGGUGAGGUAACGGCUCACCAAACCUUCGAUGGAUAGGGGUUCUGAGAGGAAGGUCCCCCACAUUGGAACUGAGACACGGUCCAA
rnacentral:rRNA from 1 species